AAUGAAGUGGAAGCACGAAACGAACCAAAGAAGAGAAUGGUUGCGGUCAGUCAGUUGUAGUGAAUUGACUGGUGAUGAGGUGUAGUGAAAGGAACAAAGAACUAAAUUUAAAGUGAAAAAGAACACAAG
rnacentral:ribozyme from 1 species